rnacentral:rRNA from 1 species
GGAUGAACGCUGGCGGCGUGCCUAAUACAUGCAAGUCGAGCGAACAGAUGAGGAGCUUGCUCCUCUGACGUUAGCGGCGGACGGGUGAGUAACACGUGGAUAACCUACCUAUAAGACUGGGAUAACUUCGGGAAACCGGAGCUAAUACCGGAUAAUAUAUUGAACCGCAUGGUUCAAUAGUGAAAGACGGUUUUGCUGUCACUUAUAGAUGGAUCCGCGCCGCAUUAGCUAGUUGGUAAGGUAACGGCUUACCAAGGCAACGAUGCGUAGCCGACCUGAGAGGGUGAUCGGCCACACUGGAACUGAGACACGGUCCAGACUCCUACGGGAGGCAGCAGUAGGGAAUCUUCCGCAAUGGGCGAAAGCCUGACGGAGCAACGCCGCGUGAGUGAUGAAGGUCUUCGGAUCGUAAAACUCUGUUAUUAGGGAAGAACAAAUGUGUAAGUAACUAUGCACGUCUUGACGGUACCUAAUCAGAAAGCCACGGCGAACUACGU